UACAACAAAACAGGGGGUGUAGUGUUAGAGAGGAGUGGGUAUGCAGUGAAUGAGGCGCAUGCCCAUUGUCAUUUGAAGCCCAAUUAUGGUCUUGAUUGAAUUGAUCCAGCAGGGAGGUGAACCAUUAGACUGCAAGGGGUAGGUUAACAAACGUACGAGCCUCAGAAAGGGCCGGGACCACUACGUAGCCAAGAGAUGAUGAGAGUUCAGAAGAGGACAUUUCACGUUCAUCCAUUCAAACACACACCUCGCCUGAGCAAAAUCCUCGCCUUGCCAGAAAUCGCCUCCGGAGGAGGCGAAGGUCCAAAUGACUCCAAAUACACAUCAAUCUUCUCGUCUUCCUCCUCUUCUUCAUAAUCUCAUCUCAAUUCGACCUAAAACCUCACUAAAAUCCCAAACCGAAACGAACACCACAUGAACCCUAAAAACGAAAUUUGAAACUAAAUGGCACAUAGGAGGAAUCAAAGCCUAACACCUUAGGGCUUUGAUUACUCGUAAUUAAUUCUACAUGAUGGUAACGACUUUAGUUCGUAUAAAGGAGGAAGAUACUCACCUACGAGGCGGAUUUUGGCCCCAGAGCUGUAGAAGUUGAAGAAGAUGAUGAUGAACAAGAAGACCGGAAAUCCUGCAAUGAGGUUGGCUAUAGGUAUGUAGCAAGUUUGUAUGGUGCAAGUAUUGUGUGAUCUAACAAUUGGUUUAUUCAAUGGUUGUACAUGAGGGUUUAUGGCAUGGCAUAACAUGGAUUACUUGGCCAUGAAGAAAACUUGGGUUUAAAGCAAUUUAAGAAGAUGGAAGGGUGAAAAUCAAAGUGAAGUUGAAGUGGAAUUAGGUUUUAGGGUCAAUAUUAGGGUUAGGGUAGGUAGUUAACUUUUGUCAAUUGUUUGACCAAAAAAUCAACAGUUGACCAAAAGUCAAUUGUAGGUCAAACUUAGUUUUCUUUUUUGUAAUUUUGUGAUUUGAUUCCUUUUGUAAUGUUUAAAGGUUUUGUACAGAAAUUGGUCUUUGAAUGGCCAUGUAACUUAUUCUUCAAGAAAACAUUUCCCCCUCCAAAUUAGCAUUUGAAAUUUUGAAUUUGAA